GAAACCACUGUAUAUGAGACUGUGUUUGAUGGAGGAGCCAUUGAUCCAGUCUCUGGGAAUGUAUAUGAAUAUAACAGCAGAACAGGUGCAAGAAAGUGGAAGAAGACCUCCAGGCACCAGAAGGAGCCCUUGGCAAACACACAUUCCCUUCCAGAGGUCCAUCCUUUAGAGGAGUCCACAUCCUUAAACAUUCCUUUGCAAGGAUAGCAUUUUUCCAGUGCCUGAAUGAUUGGUUUUUUGUGUAUAUGAUUGUCACAGGCAGUUUUUCUUGGCUACCUAAAAUUAUAGACAUGAGGCCAGCUGCUUUGUCUGUGUUUAUAGCUUUCUGUGAGCUUCCAUUUCAGGGUGUCUGUGUGAAGGCGGCAGGAGUGGUGAGCUUUGAAUCUCUGAACAUGUUUUCCUGAAAACGAGAUACUAAAUUGACAUAUGUUCAUUGUCUUACUCUGCCCAGUACAGUGUGUGCUUUUUAAGAUCAGAGACUAUUUUUCUCACUGCUUCAGCCCCAGUACAUGCUUGGCACAGAGUGGGGACUCUCUAUACAUUUGUGAAUAAAUAAAUUUGAAUAUAUGAAUUCA